GCGUUUGUUUGUUUUAUUUGUGCCGGUUUGUCACCUUUUUUUCAUCGUGCCCUUUUCGCCGUUUAUAGUUUUCGCGUUAAUCUGUUCGCCGUGUCCGUUUUCGCAGUGUUUAUGGUCGGAUUUUGUAUUGUGAACUCACACAGAAGUGGAAACACCGCAACGUUAACGCGGAACAAGAAUAAAGCUAACCUCACGUUUAUUCAAGCUUGGUUUUUCUUCUUGACGUCAGUUUUGUGCACCACAGCGCCCCCUACAUGAAUAUAAUUUGAAGCCAGUGUACUAACAGCCUACAACAAGCUUAAUCACGUAGGUAAAUCGUAAAAAUAUUUUGCUUUGUGAACCCAAACACAAGUGGAAACACCGUAUCGAUAAUGCAGAACAAGAAUAAAGCUAACCUCACGUUUAUUCAAGCUUGGUUUUUUUGGCCAGUUUUGGGCACCACAGCGCCCUCUACAUGAAUCUAGUUUGAAGCCAGUGAACUAGUCUAAAGCUAACUUCACACAUUGAGUGCUCAUCUACAUGUUAGUGUUGUGCACCCCAGCGCCCUCUACGUGAAUCUACUCUGAAUGCUUCGAAACAAAACUAUUUCUAUAAGCAAACCUAAUAAAUAUUAGUUUUAGUUUAAUUAAAACGCUAGAUCAGGAGAAAUACGGAUAAAUACCGUUGUUUAAUGCGAAUUAAUAACUCCUCGAUAAAGUUCCUGACAU